CUUACAGAGUUUAUUGGCAUUCUGUCCACCUCCUUCUUAUUAUUUCCUAUCAAUGGAUCUCUCUUUCCAUGAGGAGGUGGGUAUACUGCCAAUUGAGCUGUGUUGG